CGAACGCUGGCGGCGAUGGAUUAGGCAUGCAAGUCGAACGAAGCAGCAAUGCUUAGUGGCGCAAGGGUGAGGAACACGUGAGUGACCUACCCGCAAGUUUGGAACAGCUCCUGGAAACGGGAAUUAAUACCGGAUGUGAUCAUGAAGCUGCAUGGUUUCAUGAUUAAAGCAGUAAUGCGCUUGCGGAUGGGCUCGCGUCCCAUUAGCUAGUUGGUGAGGUAACGGCCCACCAAGGCCAUGAUGGGUAGCUGGUCCGAGAGGACGACCAGCCACACUGGGACUGAGAACUGCCCAGACUCCUACGGGAGGCUGCAGUCGAGAAUUUUGGGCAAUGGACGAAAGUCUUGACCCAGCAAUGCCGCGUGCGGGAUGAAGGUCUUCGGAUUGUAAACCGCUGUUUGGAGGGACGAAAAUUGACGGUACUUCCAGAGGAAGCCACGGCUAACUACGUGCCAGCCGCUGC
rnacentral:rRNA from 1 species